GAACGCACCUUGCGCUCCUUGGUAUUCCGAGGAGCAUGCCUGUUUGAGUGUCAUUAAAUUCUCAACCUUUAUUAACUUUUUGGUUAGUAAGUGGAUUGGAAGUGGGGGCAUGUUGGUUUCUUCAUUGAAAUAAACUCCCCUGAAAUGCAUUAGCUGGUUGCCUUGUGCGAACAUGUCUAUUGGUGUGAUAAUUAUCUACGCCGUGGGCUAUUUGCCGUUUAUAGCACUGCUUAUAAUCGUCUGUUCAUUCAGACAAUAUAUGACAAUUUGACCUCAAAUCAGGUAGGACUACCCGCUGAACUUAAG
rnacentral:misc_RNA from 1 species